AAUCACUCAGAAGACCAGACAUCAACUCAGACUUGUUCUCUCAGUCUGUGGCCUGGGAUCUACUUCUGAGUUUUGUGGAGUUUCUUUUUAUCCCUGUACAAGACCAGGGCCAGCCACUAAAGAGCUGCAGGAGUCCGGGGAAGUCACUUCCCUUCCUCUCUAAACUUCACGUUUCUCUCUCCUGAAAACAGGAAGUGGCAUUAAAUGAGCUCUCAGAGGCCUCCCAGCAGUGACCCAGAAUGAGGUUGUUAGGAAAAUCCACUACAUGAAGAUGUGCAGUCUCUGGCUGGGAGCAGGACACCAGCUGCCCAACAGCACAGGCUCAGGGCAUGGCACUGUCUCCACUGUCCCCAUCCCCAACCUGGAAGCUAGAGCCUCGCUGCCCUGCCACUUCUGGAUGCAGGACAGAGAACCGGAACUGGGACUGUGGUCUCUCAGUAGAGGCUGUGAACAGCCAUCUGUGGCCACACGGAUUGAGACCUUUCCUGCUCACUCUUCAAACUGGGGCACCGGCUGGGUGCCCAACAGAAAGACAAUUGGAAGAGUGGCAGGUAAACCAGGCUGUGGCCCUGCAGUGCCAUCACCGUCCUCAUUUGAAUUCUGGCUCGUCUGUUCCUCUACGGCCCCUCCGCAUGGCGCUC
rnacentral:lncRNA from 1 species